GACGGAGGAUGCAAGUGUUAUCCGGAAUCACUGGGCGUAAAGCGUCUGUAGGUGGUUUAAUACGUCAACUGUUAAAUCUUGAGGCUCAACCUCAAAAUCGCAGUCGAAACUAUUAGGCUAGAGUAUAGUAGGGGUAAAGGGAAUUUCCAGUGGAGCGGUGAAAUGCGUAGAGAUUGGAAAGAACACCGAUGGCGAAGGCACUUUACUGGGCUAUUACUAACACUCAGAGACGAAAGCUAGGGUAGCAAAUGGG
rnacentral:rRNA from 1 species